rfam:Gossypium raimondii Chr11_contig_1309, whole genome shotgun sequence.
AGCUGUGCUGUGAGCGCAAAGCGAACUAUUCUUUCGCCUUUUACUAAAGAAUACCGUGUGCUCGCAGCUCAAGGCAGCAUACGCCUAUUUUUGGAGGCUUAAUUCCUUUAUUGGAGU